ACUGCAUUUGUUUCCAAAUUUCCGUGCAAAAAUCAACAACAGCACUUUUGAAAUAAGAGAGAAGAAAGAAGCAUGUUCAUUGAAGAGAAGAGGAGGUGGGGGCUACACUACAUCUGACUGCAGCUCGAGACUGCCAUCUAUGGGGACUGAGAAGCUCAGACGAUGGAGAUCCAGCUUGUAGAUAAAACACAAUCACAGUAACUGCAAGGCACUGAGGGUUUUACCACUUACUGUAAAAUCUCCUGAAUAAGAGGAGUGUGUUUCAUGGCUAAAGACUAAAUGAGUCAAUAGUACCACAAAACACCAACAAACUGGAUUUUUGUCAAUGCUAUAGGUUCAUCAAUGCCAAAAGAAACACUAAGGACUUUCAUCUUCCGUAAUGUCGGACUUCCCUUUAUCAAUAUUCAUUGAAAUACAGAGGACCAUCUCUUUGGAACAAUCUACUUGCAUCUCCUCAAUCUACAGCUACAUUAUCAGUAUUUAAAAAACAUCUGAAAAGGACUCUUAUUAGCUAAGAUUUAUGUUCAUGGAUUUCAUUGUAAUGCAUCUCAACUUGUAAACAUGAACUUCCAGGUAAAUUGUACAUUCCUAUCAAUUUUGUAUUAGUGCUUAGUCUUGAAACUUUGAUGAAUUAUGCAAUCUUUGUAUUUAUUUUUGCCUAUAUAAGGGAGAUAUUUCAAUAUUCUCACUGUCUUCAUUUAAAUAUAUGUGCAACUAAACUAAACUAAAAACAUGGGUUCAUUGAUGACAAAAAUAAGUUGAAGAAUAUUGCUAAAUAAGAAAAUAUCCCAUAUGGCAUUUUUGGAAAGCAGCCAAUGAUUCAUAAUCAUUUAUUUUCAGAGAUGUUAAAAAGUAAUGUAGAAAACUGUAGCUUUGAGCAGGAAUUGGAUUUAACCAUAACCAAGUAUUUCACACAUGAAUCAUUCAGCAGAGAGCAUCUUCACAACUUAAAAUACACCUUGCAGACCAUGAAUCAAAGGAAACUACUUGACUGGAAAUAUAAAAUCACCACAGGCAAAAGGUAGUCAGUUUGGCUUUUAGAGCCGGGUCCGCCAAGACCCUCAUGAUCUGAAAUACAAUUUUCAGUACUGAAACGUUUAACGUUUUUUCUUCAAAGGCAAACAUGAAAGUCUAGAUUUACAAAGUCACAGGUCUUACAGCAGGAGGCUGUUUAGACAAAAACAAACCCACAAAACUGAAAGCUUGUUUUUACCUGAAUCCAUGAGCAAGCAAAUCAUAGCUGUGACUUGAUUUUCGAUGAGUACAUUUUUGUGAGCGUGUUGUUGAGAUGGCCAUUUUAUUUAGCCAUGCUGUGUCCAUUUCUCAUUACUUGCGGAUUACCUCUUGAGUCCUUUAUAAUAAGGCCAGCGCUGAAGACAGUAAUCACAGUCUGUCAAAUGCAGCAGGGGGAACAAUGGCUCAUACUCUAUAAACACAGCAAUUUUCUUCAAACUAUCAACUCGUACUACAAAAUAAUAUGACUACACUACCUGCACUGGAAAUAGGCAAUGACAGCAAGAUUGUAUAACUCAACAAAAGGCUGAACAUGUCCAUUAGGAUGACCUGCUAAGCUCUAAGAGAGAAGUUGAAAAAAAGUGUUGAGAAAGUUGAGAGUGUGCUGCUGUUUCCACUCACACAGGGAAGACUUAUACCUUUUAUCGGAGAGCUACUCUUAGAUAUCCUUAAUUAUUCAGGGGCUCUGAAAGUGGGGUCUUUAUAGAGUAAAACAGAGCGGACGUGAUAAUGCAUAGUUCUCUUCUCCAGCCCCGAAAAGGCUUUGAUGUCUUUUUCUCAUCCAAGGAAUAAAAAAACUGUUUCAUACUGAUGUCUGUGUGGAAAAAAAAAAAAAAGAAUUUCUAAGAGUGGAAUCAUCACUUCUGAUAAAAAUAAGACUCCAUCUUUUCA